rnacentral:rRNA from 1 species
GACGAACGCUGGCGGCGUACUUAACACAUGCAAGUCGAACGGAAAGGCCCUGCUUUUGUGGGGUGCUCGAGUGGCGAACGGGUGAGUAACACGUGAGUAACCUGCCCUUGACUUUGGGAUAACUUCAGGAAACUGGGGCUAAUACCGGAUAGGAGCUCCUGCUGCAUGGUGGGGGUUGGAAAGUUUCGGCGGUUGGGGAUGGACUCGCGGCUUAUCAGCUUGUUGGUGGGGUAGUGGCUUACCAAGGCUUUGACGGGUAGCCGGCCUGAGAGGGUGACCGGCAACAUUGGGACUGAGAUACGGCCCAGACUCCUACGGGAGGCAGCAGUGGGGAAUAUUGCACAAUGGGCGGAAGCCUGAUGCAGCAACGCCGCGUGCGGGAUGACGGCCUUCGGGUUGUAAACCGCUUUCGCCUGUGACGAAGCGUGAGUGACGGUAAUGGGUAAAGAAGCACCGGCUAACUACGUG